rnacentral:rRNA from 1 species
GCUUACACAUGCAGUCGAACGAUGAACCACUUCGGUGGGGAUUAGUGGCGAACGGGUGAGUAACACGUGGGCAAUCUGCCCUGCACUCUGGGACAAGCCCUGGAAACGGGGUCUAAUACCGGAUACUGAUCCUCGCGGGCAUCUGCGAGGUUCGAAAGCUCCGGCGGUGCAGGAUGAGCCCGCGGCCUAUCAGCUUGUUGGUGAGGUAAUGGCUCACCAAGGCGACGACGGGUAGCCGGCCUGAGAGGGCGACCGGCCACACUGGGACUGAGACACGGCCCAGACUCCUACGGGAGGCAGCAGUGGGGAAUAUUGCACAAUGGGCGAAAGCCUGAUGCAGCGACGCCGCGUGAGGGAUGACGGCCUUCGGGUUGUAAACCUCUUUCAGCAGGGAAGAAGCGAAAGUGACGGUACCUGCAGAAGAAGCGCCGGCUAACUACGUGCCAGCAGCCGCGGUAAUACGUAGGGCGCAAGCGUUGUCCGGAAUUAUUGGGCGUAAAGAGCUCGUAGGCGGCUUGUCACGUCGGUUGUGAAAGCCCGGGGCUUAACCCCGGGUCUGCAGUCGAUACGGGCAGGCUAGAGUUCGGUAGGGGAGAUCGGAAUUCCUGGUGUAGCGGUGAAAUGCGCAGAUAUCAGGAGGAACACCGGUGGCGAAGGCGGAUCUCUGGGCCGAUACUGACGCUGAGGAGCGAAAGCGUGGGGAGCGAACAGGAUUAGAUACCCUGGUAGUCCACGCCGUAAACGGUGGGCACUAGGUGUGGGCAACAUUCCACGUUGUCCGUGCCGCAGC